UAGUUCUUAAAUUUCUUCCAAUCCUCCUCGAUUCUCUCUUCUCCCAGGUCACGGAUUCUGCCAGUCAUUUCAGCCAGUUGCAUAUAGUCUAUCAGUUGCAUCUGCCAUUCUUCCAGUGUGGGUAGAUCUUGAGUUUUCCAAUGUUUUGCGAGUAGUAUCCUUGCUGCUGUUGUUGCAUACAUGAAAAAUGUCUGAUCCUUCUUUGCCACCCCUUGGCUGACAAUACCCAAAAGGAAAGCCUCUGGUUUCUUAGUGAAAGUAUAUUUAAAUACCUUUUUCAAUUCAUUAUAAAUCAUUUCCCAGAACGCCUUCACUUUAGGGCAGGUCCACCAGAGGUGAAAGAACGUUCCUUCACACUCUUUACAUUUCCAGCACUUGUUAUCAGACAGGUGGUAAUUUUGCGAGUUUGACUGGGGUCAUAUACCAUCUAUAAAUCAUUUUCAUUACAUUUUCUUUCAAAGCAUUACAUGCAGUGAAUUUCAAUCCAUUACUCCACAGCCUUUCCCAGUCCUCAAACAUAAUGUUAUGCCCAAUAUCCUGUGCCCACCUUAUCAUAGCCGAUUUAACCAUUUCAUCUUGUGUAUUCCAUUCCAACAGCAAGUUAUACAUCCUUGAAAGUAUCUUAGUCUUUGGUGUACAGAGGCAGAUUUAGACUGGUUUUCAGAGCCUCUCUAUAACCAACAUAAUUUUUAAAAGUUUUAAUAAAAAUGUGGUGUGUGAGAAAUGUGAAGCCCCCUGAACCACUCCCUAACAAUACCCUGGCAUUAAUUAAACUCUUUUAAUUAUUCACAUUUUCAUAGAAUUGUAGAGUUGGAAGGGACCCCGAGGGUCAUCUAGCCCAACCCCCUGCAGUGCAGGAA
rnacentral:lncRNA from 1 species